rnacentral:lncRNA from 1 species
UUGAGGAACUGCCAAUUUGUUUCUUGAUUUUCUAACCCAAAACAAUAAUAAAGUUAUAAGCAACAGAAGACCUCCACCUCCAACCAGUCCUCCAAUCAGGGCAUCCCUUUUGGUUGUAUUUCCCGCAUAAUUCAAUUUUUAAUAUAAAUUCAACCUGUCCUCCAAUUUGUUAACAUGGAAGGAGAAGGAGAUAUUAUUGGAUUAAUUGUCUGUAUAUAUUUAUAUUAAAUUCAAACCCUUGGAAGGAAUAGGCGAGCCAUGGUAGAAAGGGAGGAGAGGUGCCUUAAAAGGACUUACUGGUUUUCAAGAAGGGUUUCAGGUCAAUGGUGUAGUUAGCACCAAAGAAGGGGGAGUCUGAGUAUCUUAGGAAACAUCCACUGUCAACUGCCCGACCAUCUGAGUCAGGUGGGCAUCUUUGAAUAUUGGCUAAAGCCACUUUCAAGCAUUCCAUGCACCCUUUCUCGUAGAUUGUUUCCAUGCAUUGCGCCACGCCAUACGCUGUUACAUUGCCAUUUACACCACCCACUUCCUCCCCGCUGGCAGCAAAGAACGAAUCGAUCCUUGGCGUCGCCUUUACAAGAUCCCCUAAUAGCCUUUCCACCGUCGUUCCGAAAACACUCUGUUGUGAUGCUGUGCUGCCACCGCAAAUUCCGAGGUUUCCAACUUGCGUGCUUUCUUGGUAGAACAUGUUGCUCUCGUACCUAGCUCACCAAAAUCAACACAUAACUUCAUCAUUAUAAUCAUAAGAUUAUAAAGAUGGUAUAUAUAUGUGUAUAUAUAUAAGUAAAAGAAAGUAAAAACAUAUAUACCUGAGGAAGCAACCGUCGAAGAUGACACGAGCACCAUUAGCGGCGGAGCAGUUGCGGAUUUGUGAGGAAGCAGUACUGAAGCAAGAGAUGCAGUCGUUUCGAGACAUGUAAUUCCUGCACUGCACCAUGGCAUAAACGGGGUCAAAACCCGUGGCUUCUUGAGCCACUGCGAAAUGCAUGCCCUUGUCUAAGUGCCCUCGGAGCUCCGUUAACGUGGCGUUUAGAUUUCUGGAGAAACCGGAGAAGCUGGUGACGUUGAACAUGCUGCACCCAUGGUUCAGCAGAAAGGUUUGUGGAUUUGAGGCACCCAUUUCCAGCAGGCACCAUAUUACCGUCAAGGAAAUGCAAAUUCGAAGAAGCUCCAUAUCUCUUUAAUCUUUAAUACGACCCUCGAGUUUUGUUUUUUCUUGUUUAAUGUUGUUGCCAAAACAAGAUGAAAGAACGUUUAAUGUCUGGUAUAUAUAUAGUGGAAUUCUGUACAGAAUAGUAUUAUCUGUAUGAAUAAAUAAAUCAAUUCAAAAGAUUUGGAAAUAUUAUACCAGUAUACGACAAGGAAUUAGGGGGAUAGGUUAAUUACAUGAGAUGACUUGAUUAAAAUUUUGAAAGGAUUUAAUGAAUUUUAAAAAAAUCAUAAGUCUAAUUUAAACUGAAAAAUUUUAGAAACUUAAUAAGAAUUUUAGGAAAUUUUGGAAAAUGCUAUUUAAUUUUUUUAAAAUUUUUUAUAAUCAUCAUUUUGGUCGAAACCAUAAUUUUCACUGAGGGUAGCAAUAAUUAUUUCCUUACGGUUUAAUUAAAUUUUUAAAAUUCUAAUAAAAUUUUUAGAAAAUUCUGGAUAAGACUUUUGGCACCGAUGAACACCCGCCCCAGCUGGUUCACAAAGUCUGAAGUCUUUCAUUUGGACUUGCACGACUUCGUAGAAACGAACUUUCGUCUAAAGUUGACAGUUGUCACUUCUCAAUAACUUUUUUGUUUUAAUAUGUCAAAGGUCCUUAUACCUUUUUGAAAUAUAAAAUUUAGUCCUUAUACUUUAAUUUUGAGAAAUUGAGUAGCUAUACAAUUUUUUUACUUAAAAAUCUGGUUAGAUUUGAUUUAUAUAAAAAAGGUAAAAUAACUCUUUUAGCCCUCAUGAUUUAUAAUUUUUUAUUAAUUUGGUCCAAACACUUUAAAUUUUAAAAAAUAUAUGAAAAAUAUAAAAAUUUCCUAAAAUUCAAAAAAGUUGUGUUAUUUACUUCAGAAAUAGUAAUAAGGUCUCUCCAAGUUUUAAGCUAUUCUUUUGGUUCAUAUUACUUAAAUUUGAUAAGGCUUUUUUUAUUUAUUUUAAAUUAGAUUAUGUAACACCCUUACCCGUAUUCGACAUCGAAAUAGGGUACGAGGCAUUACCAGAACACAUACACUUGUAAAUGUAUUGAACCGAGUUAUAAAAAAAUUCAAUAAAUUGUUAAACUUUCAAAUUAUUAACAUGCUUUUAUAAUUCUUCACAAUAUAAAUAAUGCAACAUUUCCUACCAACCACAAUCAAGCUUUCGAUAAUCAUCUCACUGCAUCUAAUAAUUGUACAUAUUACCAAUAAUAAUUCAAUUUCAAUAAUAAAACACAUAUCCAUAUAAUAUUCAUCAUAAAAUAACAUUCACUUUAAUUAAAAUUAUACAGAAUAUAGUUCAUACUAACUUACCAAGUUAAUAUGUAGAAAUACCAAGAUGCAAGGGCAUUUUGGUAAUUUUCCAUUUUUUAAUUUUCUACCCGAUCUUGAUCUAAAUUAAUUUUUCAUUUAAUAAAACAACUCAUUCCAUGCAAUUUGGUCAUUUUUGACAAUUUUUUUCAAAAUUGCCCCUAAAGUUUUACUUUUAUUUAAUUUAGUUCCCGAGCCCAAAUCAUUCAAAUUAACCAUUUGUAACGCAAACCCAUGCUAGCAGAAUAUUCAUAUAUUUAUUUCCCCUCCUCCUCUCCAUUCCACAUCCUUAAUGUAUAUAACACACUUAAACAACAUUAACUAUAAUUUUACUAUUCACCCACAUGUAUAUUCAAAGUUGUUUAUCUGAGUCAGAGUCUCUAAAUUAUUUUUAUCUGGAGCUACAGAGCUCCAAAUUAAGAUCCGUUAAUUUUCCCUAAAACUAGACUCACAUAUCUUCUUACCAUAAACUUUUCAGAAUUUUUGGUUCAGCCAAAUAGUACAGUUUAUUCUUUAAAGUUUCCCCUGUUUUGCUAUCUAACAGUUUCGACCACUCUUCACUAAAAAUGAAUUAUCUAAUUGUACAGAAUUCGGAUGAUAUUUACAUUUGUUUUCUUUGAAAAUAGACUCAUCAAGGAUUCUAAUCAUGUAAAUUAUAACUCAUAAUUAUUUUUCUUCAAUUUUUUUUAUGAUUUUUCAAAUUCAGAACAGGGGAACCCGAAAUCAUUCUCACAUUGUCUCACAAAUUUUAUUAUAUCUCAUAAUUUACAAUUUCAUUACUUACACCGUUUCUUCUAUAAGAAACUAGACUCAAUAAGCUUUAAUUUCAUAUUUUAUUCAUCCUCUAAUUCGAUUUACACAAUUUAUGGUGAUUUUUCAAAGUUAGACCACUGCUGCUGCCCAAAACUGUUUUAGUGUAAAUAUUGAUUACCAAUUUGACCCUAAACUUUUAGUACAUAACAAUUUCGUCCCUAGGCUCAGUAAAUGAAAUUCUUGCAAUAUAAUUCUUGUUUCAAGACUAAUAGUUCUCACACAUAUCAGUAACAGCCCAUGGAUUCCAUGAAAUUUCAGAAGUUUUCCUCAAUUUCAAUACUUUCAAUUUAAUUCCUAAAACAUGUUUUCAUCCAUAAUUCUUUAAUAAAACACCAUUAAACAUUCAUUAACAUAUCAAUUUCAUCAUAAAAUAACAAAAAUCAUAUGAACUUAUCAUUGGUAUCUUCCAAAACUUUCAACAAAAUGAGGAACUAAUAGAAUACUAAGUUGGACCUAAUUGUAAAAGUGUAAACAUCUCAAAAUUUCAAGGAAAAAAUAAGAAUUAAACUUACUUGAAGCCAAAAUAUGGAGGAACAGCUCUAACCCCCUUUCAUGGCUGUUUCCACUGAAAUUUCAAGAAGAAAUGGUCUUGAAAUCCUUCAAAUAAAGUUUGGCCACAUAAAUUUUUUUGUAAUUCCAAUUUUGUCCUUAAAUACAUAAAAAUCUUUGAUUUUUUCAACUGUAUGCCGCCUCAGCCACUUAAAUUGGUCCAUUUACUCUUUUAGUCCUUCCUUAUUUAAUUGUUAAACCAUUUAACCACUUUAGCAAGUUUUGCAUCUUUCCAAUUUAGUCAUUUUUAAUUAAUUGACUGCCGAAAUGUUAAAAUUUUCUAACGAAACUUUAACACUACCAUAUUAACACUCCAUAAAUAUUUAUAAAAUAUUUACAGCUCGGUUUAUAACAUCAAGGUCUCGAUACCUCUUUUCCUCAAUUUCUUGACUUGAUAAAUUUUUAUAAAACACAAAUUACUAAUUUAAAAACUCUUAAAAAUCAUAUUUGGCUCGUAAUUAUUAAUAACAAAAUUUACUAGCUUAUUUUCUGAAUUUGGUGAUCUCGUACCACUGUUUUCGACAUUUCUAAAAAUCGGACUAUUACAGAUUAAUUGUAUAUAAAAAUAUUUUUAUGUAAAUUUAAUUAUAAAGUGUAUAAAAUAUUAAUAUAAAAUAAUUUUUAAAUAACGAUACAAAUUCUGAAUCCAUUCAAAUUAAACUUAAAUAUAAUUUUUUUUUUCAAAAUACACCAUAUAUUAAAGGAAUUUUAUAUAAAAAAUGGACACAUUUUGGUAAAGUACAAAAGUUACAAAUUAAGUCUUGAAAUUUUAUACAGUGUAUUUUAAACAACAAAAUGUAAAUAUUUAAAUUUAAUUCACAUCAAGUUUGUAUAAUUAUUUAAUUCAAAUCAUUUAUAUAAAAAUAUAUUUUUGUUUAAAUCAGGACCUAAUUUAUUUAUUUAUUUAUUUAUUUAAAAAUAGUGCUUUUUAUUUUUAAAUUUUUUUAAUUUUUUAUAAUUUUUAUUGAAAAUAUGAAAAGACAUUUAAUUUUAAAACUUCCUUUUUUUUUGGUAAUUGUUUAUGUAUUUUGGAAUAGUUUGAAUUAAAUUGAUAAAAAAAAUUGUAAAUCAUGAGGAUUAAAAGAAUUAUUUUAUUUUUUACAAUAACCUUAUCAUCAAUUCUAAUGAUAAAAUUGACGAAAAGACCAAUAUUUAAUUUGUUAUUAGUUCGAUUAUGCAUCAUAAAGGUUGAUUAUGAUGUAAUUUUUUAAAAAUGGAGUUUGCGCGUGUGUGUGUUUUUACUUUAUUCGCUAAAUGCAAUUUUCUUAAGGCAUUUGCUUUGUUGAUUAUUAUUUUAUGUGCUGAUUGUGAAAAAAAAAAUCAGGAGUAAAGUUAUAAUCUUAUCAUACAAAUUCCAUUCCCAUCUCUAACAUUUUAUAAAGAAAUUUAUAAUCAUGUCACGUCAUUUGCCGGGACUUCUCAUUUGAACUUUAGGUACUAGUCUAUGUGUAAACCUAACGGUCGUGCCUCACCUGUCAGCUGCACUCUGCACACUUCUCUUCACAUCCUCCCUAUUUAUCAUAUCUACCCUUAAAACUUUCAAUUUCCAACAGCGGAAAACACUCCCCGAUUUGUAUUUAGUUGUUUUUAUUAAAAUCAUAAUAAUAGUGACCCAAAUUUGAUAUUUUAACUUAUUAAUUUCAGAAAAAGCUCGAGAUUAAUACUAAUAGACAGCAUGAUGAGCUUUAACUAUGAGCCAUAGUUUGGCACAGUCAAUUCACGUUUAUAUAAAGCAUUUAUAAAUUAUAAGAAUGAUUUUUUUCUCAAUGUAUUUGCUUUUCAAUGUUAACUUUCUUCCUAAAACUAUAUAUAUAGCUGGGAUACUAUCACGGUUAUAAAGGUACUUAAAAAUAGGUUAAGUUUGGUCUAUGAUACUAACAUAUUUUAUUUUUGUUCAAGUUUGGCCCAAUUCAAAAUAUAAAUCUCAAAUUAUGUUCAAAAUUGUCAAUAUAAAUUAUUAGCAAGUUCAUUUUAAACCCAGAUGUUAUUAAAUUUUAUAUUAUUUUUAAUUUUUAAUUUAUUAAUUUUUUAUUAAGAUUUAAUUUUAUUAAUUUUAUUUUAUAUAAAUUACAUUAUAUAUAUAUAUAUUCAAAAUAGAAAACAGAUCAACUUUCAAAAAUAAAAUAAAAAAUAGGUAGCUCAUAUUUUUGCUCAAACUUAUUUUCUGAACCUCAUAUUUUUAUCCAAACUCUCCUGUAAUUUAAGUGGAUUUCGAGUUUUGAUUAAAUAGCUCAAUCCUUAAACAAGUCUAUAAAAACACCUAUCACAUUAUAAAUUAAAAUAUAUAUUGUGACAAAUAUUCAAUUAGUGAAAAGAAAAACCCAAUUUAAAUAUAAAAGCACAGAUAAUUCAACAUUUAAUUACCACUUUAACAAAUUCAACGAACAUGAGAAGUAAAAAGAAAAAAAAUUUAUACUAUUAAUAUAAGCCAUGUUUAUUUUCAUACACUUAUAAAUUCAAUAUAUAAUUUAAAUUUAAAUUUAUUUAUUUGGAGAGAUUGAUUUUGAAUAUUUAAAUAACGUAAAUGGUCAUUUGCAAUGUUUUGUUUAAAGGUUUGCACGCGGUAAAGAUUAUCUUAGUUUUCAGCUUGUUUCCGAAUUUUCAAGAGCUUGACAUUUGAUGCAGAAUCAAAUGAAAAAAAAUAUUAAAUUCUAAGUAAUUAAAAGUAAUAAAUUUUUAUAAAAAAAAUAGAAAAUUGGUGGAAACGUCUUUAAAAUAUUAAUGAAAUGAUACAGGUUGCAGAAAAGAAAUUAUUAAUGUUUGAAUAUUAAAAUCUAAGUAGAUGUAAUAGCCCGAUUUCGGGUCUCGUCGGAACAGUGGUUUCGGGACCACAAAUCCGACGAGAAAAAAUAAAAUGGCCUGAAUUUUCAGGGGUGUCAAAACGGUGAUUCGAGAUCAUUAAAACCGACAAAUGAGUAGAAAAUAUUAUUAAUUUAGUGAGUAUAAGUUAAAUGUGAAGUUAAGAAAAUUUUUGAACAAAAAGGACUAAAUUGUAACAAAUGCAAAAUUAUGGGAAAUGAUUAAAUAGCUUAAAUGAUAAAAGUAAGAGGGCUUAAAAGAUAAAUAGACCCAAUGUCUAUUUGGGCUGGACGGCAAAGGCGUGAAAUCAGCAAGAAAGUAAGGAGAAUUAAGGGCAAAAUUGGAAUAUUGCAAAUUUACUUAAUAAAGCUAGGAUCCAAGUGGAAUUAUCCAGAUUUCUCUUUAUUUUUCUCCAUUCUCAUCAUCAAAAACACCAUAGAAGGGUUUCCUUAAGCUGGUUUUUCAUAUUUUUACUGCAAGUAAGUUCAAUUCUUGAUUAUUUCUUGAACUUUUUGUGUUUUUGUGACAUUUAGAACUAGGCCCACUUGUUGAAUUCAUUAGUUUUUGAUUCUAUGAAAGAAGUUGAAAGUUGCUAUGAAUAUGUGUUGGUAGUAUAUGAUGAUUUAGCAUGUAAUUAGAGCUUUAAAUUGUUUAUAUGCUGAUUUUAUUGAAAGAAUUGAAUAGAAAGUGAAUGUUUGGGACCUAAUAGUAAAACAAGUUAGGGUUUUAUGAGGAAAUUCUGAAUUUCAAUAAUUAUGAAUAGCUUAUAAUGUGUAGGUAAAGUACUAAUUGAGAAAAAUUAGCUUAAUUGAGGGGUUAAUUGAGAAGGGACUAGAUUGUAUGAAAUGUGAAAUUUGGGGCAAACUAGAAAUCAACAUUUUACACUAAAACAGUUUUGGACGGCAGCAGUAGUUUAACUUUGAAAAAUCACCAAAAAUUAUGGGAAUCGAAUUAGAGAAUGAAUAAAAUAUUAAAUUAAAUCUUAUUGAGCCUAGUUUCUCAUAGAAGAAACGGUGUAAGUAAUAGAAUUGUAAAUUAUGAGAUAUAAUAAAUUUUGUGAGACAAGGUCAGAGUGAUUUCGGGUUCCCCUGUUCUGAAUUUGGAAAAUCAUAAAAAAUUGAAGAAAAAUAAUUAAGAGCUUAAAUUUAUAUAUUUAAAAUCCUAAAUGAGUCUAUUUUAAAGAGAAAUAAACGGAAACAUCAUCCGAAUCCCGUACAAGGAGAUAAUUAAUUUUAAGUGAAGAAGGGUCAGAACUAUCUAGCAGUGAAACAUGGGAGAUUUUAAAGAAUAAACUGUACUUAUUAGCUAAGACAAAAAUUCUGAAAAUUUAUGGUAAGAAAAUAUGUAAGUCUGGUUUCAGAUAAAAUUAACGGAUCUUAAUUUGGAGUUUCGUAACUCAAGAUAUAAAUAAUUUAGUGACUCUGACUCGGAUAGACAGAUUUGAAUUUAAUUAUAAGUAAAUAGUGAAAAUAUAGUGAAUUUACUUGUGUAUAAAUCGGUCAUAUAUUCGAUCAUAAUCGAUAAAUGUUGAAUUAGAAAUGAUGUAAUGUUUUAUUUCAAAUAGUUACUAUGAGAUUGAUGAUAAUCUGAUUUUAGCUAAAUUAAAAGCUAAAGCUAUGUUUUCAUUGCAAAAUUAAGAAUUUCAUAAAUAUGUUAAUGAAUGGCAUAAUCGAUAAACGUUGAGUUAAAUGGUAAAUAGUAUUAGUAUUGAACUUAAUGAUAUUGAAUUUUAUGAGAAGUAAAUGGAAAUUUCUAUUGCUAGUGAUAUGAUUUGAAUUAAAAGAAUUAUUGUGAUAUUGAAAUGUAUAUUGGAUUGAGAAAUUGAUUUAAAUUGUAAACAUAAGAAAUUAUGAAUUGAAUGAAAUGGAAAUGAAGCAUUGAAUUGUUAAGACUUGUGAAUUGCAUGAAUAUAAAUCGGGUCUCGUAGGCCCUAUUUAUUAUGAAUAUAAUAUUUAAAGGAUAUAUUGUGAAGAGUUAUAAAAGCAUGUCAAAAAAAUUGAAAGUUUUAAUUUUGAUGAAAUUUUAUAAUACGGUUAAAUACAUUUACAAAUGUAUGUGUUCUGGUAAUGCCUCGCACUCUAUUCCGGCGACGGAUACGGGUAAGAAGUGUUACAUUAGAAGUAAAAAGAAAAAAAUAAAACCAAUGAAAAUGAGAAAAGAAAUUAUGGUUUGAGUGAUACAGAUAAUAAUGACAUAGAAAUUUGAGAAAAUCAACGACCAGAGACCUGGGAGAUAGAAUUGGUAGCAUUAGAUGAAGAAGUGGAAGUGGAUCUGUUAUCUUGGGGAAUAAUAUCAACCCUUCUGUCAGAUUCAAUGAAGGCAGGUCGAGUGGGCUGUCUUGGCUCUAAGGAGCUCACUGUUCUAAGCAUAGUAACCACCUCUGACAUUGUAGGCCUCAAAGAAGCUGAUGAUUGAGUGCAUAAGAAUGCUAUUUCGAUCAUUCUUUGCAUUUCGUCUAUAUCAUAUUCUUCCGGAUCUAAGCUUCUGUCUACUAUUUCCAUUGCCAUAUUAUCUUGGUACAGUCCCCAUGCCUACAUGUAUAUAUAUCACCAAAAAGAAAAGAAAAAAACACACAUAGGAAUUAGCAGUAAUAUAUGUAUCAACUCAGAUUAGGAAAUUAAAGUACCCGUUUUAGAAGGAACUCAGCGGUAGGAUCAAGAGAGGUUUCGUUGUUCUUUAGGCCACUGAUGAUUUCAAGGACAACCACCCCAAAGCUAUAUGUAUCAACUUUCACUGACAAUUGCCCAUGGAUUGCAUAUUCUGGUGCUGUAUAUCCACUGUCCCAUCCAACUUAUUUCAUUAUUAACCAUAUAUAUGCAUGCUAAUUACCUAAAUUUACUACCCAAACGCCAAAAGCCUAGAAAUUUGGGAUGGGAAACUUACAAAGUGCCAGCAAAUUUGGUGCUAAGAUGAGUCUGAUCCUCAGGUAAGAGCCUGACCAAUCCAAAAUCUGCUAUCUUAGGCUGAAAAUCUCUGUCCAAAAGUAUAUUGCUAGGUUUGAUGUCCCUAUGGAUGAUACAUACAUGAAACUCCUCGUGUAAAUAGGCUAGUCCCUUUGCUGUGCCUACUAUUAUGUCAAAUCUCUGUUUCCAGUUCAGAGAUCCAUGCCCUUCACCUGUUCGACAAAAUAAAACAAACAUAAAAUUGCUUUCAAGAUCAUUAAUUUUACGACAAUCAAGAUUCAAUUUCUGACAAUUAAUUACCAAAUAAGUGCUUAUCAAGGCUGCCAUUAGGCAUGAACUCAUAGACAAGGAGAAGCUCAGGGCCUUUACUACAGCAGCCAACAAGGCGAACCAGAUUCCGAUGAUGAACAUUGCUUAUAAGCUUCACUUCUGUAUCGAAUUCUGCUUUUACCUUUUCUGAUUUGCUUAUGGCUAGUUUCUUCACUGCUACCACCCUUCCAUUCUUCAAUAUACCCUAUAUUUAUAUAUUAAAAUUCCAACCGCCCACAAAUUUAUCAAUUUUCUUUUACAAUAAUAUAAAAGUAAUUUCAUUAUUGUUGAGUAAAUUGCAAGGUUAAAAAUAUUCACCUUGUAUACUUCACCAAAACCACCUUCUCCUAAUUUAUUUUGUUGACUAAAAUUUGUCGUUGCAAAAUUCAAUUCUUUGUAAGUGUAAGUCAACGGACCUUGUAACUCAGGUGGCGCCUCUACAUCCUCUGCAAUGUUUUUUUUUUUCUUUUUAAAUGGGCACAUAAUUAUGAUUUUAUUUAUUUUAACCCACAAAUAUAGAAUUAAUAUAAUAUGUUACCUUGAGGAACUGCCAUAUUGUUUCUUGAUUUUCUAACCCAAAACAAUAAUAAAGUUAUAAGCAACAGAAGACCUCCACCUCCAACCAGUCCUCCAAUCAGAGCAUCCCUUUUAGUUGUAUUUCCUGCAUGAUUCAAUUUUUAAUAUAAAUUCAACCUGUCCUCCAAUUUGUUAACAUGGAAGGAGAAGGAGAUAUUAUUGGAUUAAUUGAUCUGUAUAUAUUUAUAUUAAAUUCAAACCCUUGGAAGGAAUAGGCGAGCCAUAGUAGAAAGGGAGGAGAGGUGCCUUAAAAGGACUUACUGGUUUUCAAGAAGGGUUUCAGGUCAAUGGUGUAGUUAGCACCAAAGAAGGGGGAGUCUGAGUAUCUUAGGAAACAUCCAGUGUCAACUGCCCGACCAUCUGAGUCAGGUGGGCAUCUUUGAAUAUUGGCUAAAGCCACUUUCAAGCAUUCCAUGCACCCUUUCUCGUCGAUGGUUUCCAUGCAUUGCGCCACGCCAUACGCUGUUACAUUGCCAUUUACACCACCCACUUCCUCCCUGCUGGCAGCAAAGAACGAAUCGAUCCUUGGCGUCGCCUUUACAAGAUCCCCUAAUAGCCUUUCCACCGUCGUUCCGAAAACAUUCUGUUGUGAUGCUGUGCUGCCACCGCAAAUUCCGAGGUUUCCAACUUGCGUGCUUUCUUGGUAGAACAUGUUGCUCUCGUACCUAGCUCACCAAAAUCAACACAUAACUUCAUCAUUAUAAUCAUAAAGAUGCUAUAUAUAUGUGUAUAUAUUUAAGUAAAAGAAAGUAAAUAUAUAUAUACCUGAGGAAGCAACCGUCGAAGAUGACACGAGCACCAUUAGCGGCGGAGCAGUUGCGGAUUUGUGAGGAAGCAGUACUGAAGCAAGAGAUGCAGUCGUUUCGAGACAUGUAAUUCCUGCACUGCACCAUGGCAUAAACGGGGUCAGAACCCGUGGCUUCCUGAGCCACUGCGAAAUGCAUGCCCUUGUCUAACUGCCCUCGGAGCUCCGUUAACGUGGCGUUUAGAUUUCUGGAGAAACCGGAGAAGCUGGUGACGUUGAACAUGCUGCACCCAUGGUUCAGCAGAAAGGUUUGUGGAUUUGAGGCACCCAUUUCCAGCAGGCACCAUAUUACCGUCAAGGAAAUGCAAAUUCGAAGAAGCUCCAUAUCUCUUUAAUCUUUAAUACGACCCUCGAGUUUUGUUUUUUCUUGUUUAAUGUUGUUGCCAAAACAAGAUGAAAGAACGUUUAAUGUCUGGUAUAUAUAUAGUGGAAUUCUGUACAGAAUAGUAUUAUCUGUAUGAAUAAAUAAAUCAAUUCAAAAGAUUUGGAAAUAUUAUACCAGUAUACGACAAGGAAUUAGGGGGAUAGGUUAAUUACAUGAGAUGACUUGAUUAAAAUUUUGAAAGGAUUUAAUGAAUUUUAAAAAAAUCAUAAGUCUAAUUUAAACUGAAAAAUUUUAGAAACUUAAUAAGAAUUUUAGGAAAUUUUGGAAAAUGCUAUUUAAUUUUUUUAAAAUUUUUUAUAAUCAUCAUUUUGGUCGAAACCAUAAUUUUCACUGAGGGUAGCAAUAAUUAUUUCCUUACGGUUUAAUUAAAUUUUUAAAAUUCUAAUAAAAUUUUUAGAAAAUUCUGGAUAAGACUUUUGGCACCGAUGAACACCCGCCCCAGCUGGUUCACAAAGUCUGAAGUCUUUCAUUUGGACUUGCACGACUUCGUAGAAACGAACUUUCGUCUAAAGUUGACAGUUGUCACUUCUCAAUAACUUUUUUGUUUUAAUAUGUCAAAGGUCCUUAUACCUUUUUGAAAUAUAAAAUUUAGUCCUUAUACUUUAAUUUUGAGAAAUUGAGUAGCUAUACAAUUUUUUUACUUAAAAAUCUGGUUAGAUUUGAUUUAUAUAAAAAAGGUAAAAUAACUCUUUUAGCCCUCAUGAUUUAUAAUUUUUUAUUAAUUUGGUCCAAACACUUUAAAUUUUAAAAAAUAUAUGAAAAAUAUAAAAAUUUCCUAAAAUUCAAAAAAGUUGUGUUAUUUACUUCAGAAAUAGUAAUAAGGUCUCUCCAAGUUUUAAGCUAUUCUUUUGGUUCAUAUUACUUAAAUUUGAUAAGGCUUUUUUUAUUUAUUUUAAAUUAGAUUAUGUAACACCCUUACCCGUAUUCGACAUCGAAAUAGGGUACGAGGCAUUACCAGAACACAUACACUUGUAAAUGUAUUGAACCGAGUUAUAAAAAAAUUCAAUAAAUUGUUAAACUUUCAAAUUAUUAACAUGCUUUUAUAAUUCUUCACAAUAUAAAUAAUGCAACAUUUCCUACCAACCACAAUCAAGCUUUCGAUAAUCAUCUCACUGCAUCUAAUAAUUGUACAUAUUACCAAUAAUAAUUCAAUUUCAAUAAUAAAACACAUAUCCAUAUAAUAUUCAUCAUAAAAUAACAUUCACUUUAAUUAAAAUUAUACAGAAUAUAGUUCAUACUAACUUACCAAGUUAAUAUGUAGAAAUACCAAGAUGCAAGGGCAUUUUGGUAAUUUUCCAUUUUUUAAUUUUCUACCCGAUCUUGAUCUAAAUUAAUUUUUCAUUUAAUAAAACAACUCAUUCCAUGCAAUUUGGUCAUUUUUGACAAUUUUUUUCAAAAUUGCCCCUAAAGUUUUACUUUUAUUUAAUUUAGUUCCCGAGCCCAAAUCAUUCAAAUUAACCAUUUGUAACGCAAACCCAUGCUAGCAGAAUAUUCAUAUAUUUAUUUCCCCUCCUCCUCUCCAUUCCACAUCCUUAAUGUAUAUAACACACUUAAACAACAUUAACUAUAAUUUUACUAUUCACCCACAUGUAUAUUCAAAGUUGUUUAUCUGAGUCAGAGUCUCUAAAUUAUUUUUAUCUGGAGCUACAGAGCUCCAAAUUAAGAUCCGUUAAUUUUCCCUAAAACUAGACUCACAUAUCUUCUUACCAUAAACUUUUCAGAAUUUUUGGUUCAGCCAAAUAGUACAGUUUAUUCUUUAAAGUUUCCCCUGUUUUGCUAUCUAACAGUUUCGACCACUCUUCACUAAAAAUGAAUUAUCUAAUUGUACAGAAUUCGGAUGAUAUUUACAUUUGUUUUCUUUGAAAAUAGACUCAUCAAGGAUUCUAAUCAUGUAAAUUAUAACUCAUAAUUAUUUUUCUUCAAUUUUUUUUAUGAUUUUUCAAAUUCAGAACAGGGGAACCCGAAAUCAUUCUCACAUUGUCUCACAAAUUUUAUUAUAUCUCAUAAUUUACAAUUUCAUUACUUACACCGUUUCUUCUAUAAGAAACUAGACUCAAUAAGCUUUAAUUUCAUAUUUUAUUCAUCCUCUAAUUCGAUUUACACAAUUUAUGGUGAUUUUUCAAAGUUAGACCACUGCUGCUGCCCAAAACUGUUUUAGUGUAAAUAUUGAUUACCAAUUUGACCCUAAACUUUUAGUACAUAACAAUUUCGUCCCUAGGCUCAGUAAAUGAAAUUCUUGCAAUAUAAUUCUUGUUUCAAGACUAAUAGUUCUCACACAUAUCAGUAACAGCCCAUGGAUUCCAUGAAAUUUCAGAAGUUUUCCUCAAUUUCAAUACUUUCAAUUUAAUUCCUAAAACAUGUUUUCAUCCAUAAUUCUUUAAUAAAACACCAUUAAACAUUCAUUAACAUAUCAAUUUCAUCAUAAAAUAACAAAAAUCAUAUGAACUUAUCAUUGGUAUCUUCCAAAACUUUCAACAAAAUGAGGAACUAAUAGAAUACUAAGUUGGACCUAAUUGUAAAAGUGUAAACAUCUCAAAAUUUCAAGGAAAAAAUAAGAAUUAAACUUACUUGAAGCCAAAAUAUGGAGGAACAGCUCUAACCCCCUUUCAUGGCUGUUUCCACUGAAAUUUCAAGAAGAAAUGGUCUUGAAAUCCUUCAAAUAAAGUUUGGCCACAUAAAUUUUUUUGUAAUUCCAAUUUUGUCCUUAAAUACAUAAAAAUCUUUGAUUUUUUCAACUGUAUGCCGCCUCAGCCACUUAAAUUGGUCCAUUUACUCUUUUAGUCCUUCCUUAUUUAAUUGUUAAACCAUUUAACCACUUUAGCAAGUUUUGCAUCUUUCCAAUUUAGUCAUUUUUAAUUAAUUGACUGCCGAAAUGUUAAAAUUUUCUAACGAAACUUUAACACUACCAUAUUAACACUCCAUAAAUAUUUAUAAAAUAUUUACAGCUCGGUUUAUAACAUCAAGGUCUCGAUACCUCUUUUCCUCAAUUUCUUGACUUGAUAAAUUUUUAUAAAACACAAAUUACUAAUUUAAAAACUCUUAAAAAUCAUAUUUGGCUCGUAAUUAUUAAUAACAAAAUUUACUAGCUUAUUUUCUGAAUUUGGUGAUCUCGUACCACUGUUUUCGACAUUUCUAAAAAUCGGACUAUUACAGAUUAAUUGUAUAUAAAAAUAUUUUUAUGUAAAUUUAAUUAUAAAGUGUAUAAAAUAUUAAUAUAAAAUAAUUUUUAAAUAACGAUACAAAUUCUGAAUCCAUUCAAAUUAAACUUAAAUAUAAUUUUUUUUUUCAAAAUACACCAUAUAUUAAAGGAAUUUUAUAUAAAAAAUGGACACAUUUUGGUAAAGUACAAAAGUUACAAAUUAAGUCUUGAAAUUUUAUACAGUGUAUUUUAAACAACAAAAUGUAAAUAUUUAAAUUUAAUUCACAUCAAGUUUGUAUAAUUAUUUAAUUCAAAUCAUUUAUAUAAAAAUAUAUUUUUGUUUAAAUCAGGACCUAAUUUAUUUAUUUAUUUAUUUAUUUAAAAAUAGUGCUUUUUAUUUUUAAAUUUUUUUAAUUUUUUAUAAUUUUUAUUGAAAAUAUGAAAAGACAUUUAAUUUUAAAACUUCCUUUUUUUUUGGUAAUUGUUUAUGUAUUUUGGAAUAGUUUGAAUUAAAUUGAUAAAAAAAAUUGUAAAUCAUGAGGAUUAAAAGAAUUAUUUUAUUUUUUACAAUAACCUUAUCAUCAAUUCUAAUGAUAAAAUUGACGAAAAGACCAAUAUUUAAUUUGUUAUUAGUUCGAUUAUGCAUCAUAAAGGUUGAUUAUGAUGUAAUUUUUUAAAAAUGGAGUUUGCGCGUGUGUGUGUUUUUACUUUAUUCGCUAAAUGCAAUUUUCUUAAGGCAUUUGCUUUGUUGAUUAUUAUUUUAUGUGCUGAUUGUGAAAAAAAAAAUCAGGAGUAAAGUUAUAAUCUUAUCAUACAAAUUCCAUUCCCAUCUCUAACAUUUUAUAAAGAAAUUUAUAAUCAUGUCACGUCAUUUGCCGGGACUUCUCAUUUGAACUUUAGGUACUAGUCUAUGUGUAAACCUAACGGUCGUGCCUCACCUGUCAGCUGCACUCUGCACACUUCUCUUCACAUCCUCCCUAUUUAUCAUAUCUACCCUUAAAACUUUCAAUUUCCAACAGCGGAAAACACUCCCCGAUUUGUAUUUAGUUGUUUUUAUUAAAAUCAUAAUAAUAGUGACCCAAAUUUGAUAUUUUAACUUAUUAAUUUCAGAAAAAGCUCGAGAUUAAUACUAAUAGACAGCAUGAUGAGCUUUAACUAUGAGCCAUAGUUUGGCACAGUCAAUUCACGUUUAUAUAAAGCAUUUAUAAAUUAUAAGAAUGAUUUUUUUCUCAAUGUAUUUGCUUUUCAAUGUUAACUUUCUUCCUAAAACUAUAUAUAUAGCUGGGAUACUAUCACGGUUAUAAAGGUACUUAAAAAUAGGUUAAGUUUGGUCUAUGAUACUAACAUAUUUUAUUUUUGUUCAAGUUUGGCCCAAUUCAAAAUAUAAAUCUCAAAUUAUGUUCAAAAUUGUCAAUAUAAAUUAUUAGCAAGUUCAUUUUAAACCCAGAUGUUAUUAAAUUUUAUAUUAUUUUUAAUUUUUAAUUUAUUAAUUUUUUAUUAAGAUUUAAUUUUAUUAAUUUUAUUUUAUAUAAAUUACAUUAUAUAUAUAUAUAUUCAAAAUAGAAAACAGAUCAACUUUCAAAAAUAAAAUAAAAAAUAGGUAGCUCAUAUUUUUGCUCAAACUUAUUUUCUGAACCUCAUAUUUUUAUCCAAACUCUCCUGUAAUUUAAGUGGAUUUCGAGUUUUGAUUAAAUAGCUCAAUCCUUAAACAAGUCUAUAAAAACACCUAUCACAUUAUAAAUUAAAAUAUAUAUUGUGACAAAUAUUCAAUUAGUGAAAAGAAAAACCCAAUUUAAAUAUAAAAGCACAGAUAAUUCAACAUUUAAUUACCACUUUAACAAAUUCAACGAACAUGAGAAGUAAAAAGAAAAAAAAUUUAUACUAUUAAUAUAAGCCAUGUUUAUUUUCAUACACUUAUAAAUUCAAUAUAUAAUUUAAAUUUAAAUUUAUUUAUUUGGAGAGAUUGAUUUUGAAUAUUUAAAUAACGUAAAUGGUCAUUUGCAAUGUUUUGUUUAAAGGUUUGCACGCGGUAAAGAUUAUCUUAGUUUUCAGCUUGUUUCCGAAUUUUCAAGAGCUUGACAUUUGAUGCAGAAUCAAAUGAAAAAAAAUAUUAAAUUCUAAGUAAUUAAAAGUAAUAAAUUUUUAUAAAAAAAAUAGAAAAUUGGUGGAAACGUCUUUAAAAUAUUAAUGAAAUGAUACAGGUUGCAGAAAAGAAAUUAUUAAUGUUUGAAUAUUAAAAUCUAAGUAGAUGUAAUAGCCCGAUUUCGGGUCUCGUCGGAACAGUGGUUUCGGGACCACAAAUCCGACGAGAAAAAAUAAAAUGGCCUGAAUUUUCAGGGGUGUCAAAACGGUGAUUCGAGAUCAUUAAAACCGACAAAUGAGUAGAAAAUAUUAUUAAUUUAGUGAGUAUAAGUUAAAUGUGAAGUUAAGAAAAUUUUUGAACAAAAAGGACUAAAUUGUAACAAAUGCAAAAUUAUGGGAAAUGAUUAAAUAGCUUAAAUGAUAAAAGUAAGAGGGCUUAAAAGAUAAAUAGACCCAAUGUCUAUUUGGGCUGGACGGCAAAGGCGUGAAAUCAGCAAGAAAGUAAGGAGAAUUAAGGGCAAAAUUGGAAUAUUGCAAAUUUACUUAAUAAAGCUAGGAUCCAAGUGGAAUUAUCCAGAUUUCUCUUUAUUUUUCUCCAUUCUCAUCAUCAAAAACACCAUAGAAGGGUUUCCUUAAGCUGGUUUUUCAUAUUUUUACUGCAAGUAAGUUCAAUUCUUGAUUAUUUCUUGAACUUUUUGUGUUUUUGUGACAUUUAGAACUAGGCCCACUUGUUGAAUUCAUUAGUUUUUGAUUCUAUGAAAGAAGUUGAAAGUUGCUAUGAAUAUGUGUUGGUAGUAUAUGAUGAUUUAGCAUGUAAUUAGAGCUUUAAAUUGUUUAUAUGCUGAUUUUAUUGAAAGAAUUGAAUAGAAAGUGAAUGUUUGGGACCUAAUAGUAAAACAAGUUAGGGUUUUAUGAGGAAAUUCUGAAUUUCAAUAAUUAUGAAUAGCUUAUAAUGUGUAGGUAAAGUACUAAUUGAGAAAAAUUAGCUUAAUUGAGGGGUUAAUUGAGAAGGGACUAGAUUGUAUGAAAUGUGAAAUUUGGGGCAAACUAGAAAUCAACAUUUUACACUAAAACAGUUUUGGACGGCAGCAGUAGUUUAACUUUGAAAAAUCACCAAAAAUUAUGGGAAUCGAAUUAGAGAAUGAAUAAAAUAUUAAAUUAAAUCUUAUUGAGCCUAGUUUCUCAUAGAAGAAACGGUGUAAGUAAUAGAAUUGUAAAUUAUGAGAUAUAAUAAAUUUUGUGAGACAAGGUCAGAGUGAUUUCGGGUUCCCCUGUUCUGAAUUUGGAAAAUCAUAAAAAAUUGAAGAAAAAUAAUUAAGAGCUUAAAUUUAUAUAUUUAAAAUCCUAAAUGAGUCUAUUUUAAAGAGAAAUAAACGGAAACAUCAUCCGAAUCCCGUACAAGGAGAUAAUUAAUUUUAAGUGAAGAAGGGUCAGAACUAUCUAGCAGUGAAACAUGGGAGAUUUUAAAGAAUAAACUGUACUUAUUAGCUAAGACAAAAAUUCUGAAAAUUUAUGGUAAGAAAAUAUGUAAGUCUGGUUUCAGAUAAAAUUAACGGAUCUUAAUUUGGAGUUUCGUAACUCAAGAUAUAAAUAAUUUAGUGACUCUGACUCGGAUAGACAGAUUUGAAUUUAAUUAUAAGUAAAUAGUGAAAAUAUAGUGAAUUUACUUGUGUAUAAAUCGGUCAUAUAUUCGAUCAUAAUCGAUAAAUGUUGAAUUAGAAAUGAUGUAAUGUUUUAUUUCAAAUAGUUACUAUGAGAUUGAUGAUAAUCUGAUUUUAGCUAAAUUAAAAGCUAAAGCUAUGUUUUCAUUGCAAAAUUAAGAAUUUCAUAAAUAUGUUAAUGAAUGGCAUAAUCGAUAAACGUUGAGUUAAAUGGUAAAUAGUAUUAGUAUUGAACUUAAUGAUAUUGAAUUUUAUGAGAAGUAAAUGGAAAUUUCUAUUGCUAGUGAUAUGAUUUGAAUUAAAAGAAUUAUUGUGAUAUUGAAAUGUAUAUUGGAUUGAGAAAUUGAUUUAAAUUGUAAACAUAAGAAAUUAUGAAUUGAAUGAAAUGGAAAUGAAGCAUUGAAUUGUUAAGACUUGUGAAUUGCAUGAAUAUAAAUCGGGUCUCGUAGGCCCUAUUUAUUAUGAAUAUAAUAUUUAAAGGAUAUAUUGUGAAGAGUUAUAAAAGCAUGUCAAAAAAAUUGAAAGUUUUAAUUUUGAUGAAAUUUUAUAAUACGGUUAAAUACAUUUACAAAUGUAUGUGUUCUGGUAAUGCCUCGCACUCUAUUCCGGCGACGGAUACGGGUAAGAAGUGUUACAUUAGAAGUAAAAAGAAAAAAAUAAAACCAAUGAAAAUGAGAAAAGAAAUUAUGGUUUGAGUGAUACAGAUAAUAAUGACAUAGAAAUUUGAGAAAAUCAACGACCAGAGACCUGGGAGAUAGAAUUGGUAGCAUUAGAUGAAGAAGUGGAAGUGGAUCUGUUAUCUUGGGGAAUAAUAUCAACCCUUCUGUCAGAUUCAAUGAAGGCAGGUCGAGUGGGCUGUCUUGGCUCUAAGGAGCUCACUGUUCUAAGCAUAGUAACCACCUCUGACAUUGUAGGCCUCAAAGAAGCUGAUGAUUGAGUGCAUAAGAAUGCUAUUUCGAUCAUUCUUUGCAUUUCGUCUAUAUCAUAUUCUUCCGGAUCUAAGCUUCUGUCUACUAUUUCCAUUGCCAUAUUAUCUUGGUACAGUCCCCAUGCCUACAUGUAUAUAUAUCACCAAAAAGAAAAGAAAAAAACACACAUAGGAAUUAGCAGUAAUAUAUGUAUCAACUCAGAUUAGGAAAUUAAAGUACCCGUUUUAGAAGGAACUCAGCGGUAGGAUCAAGAGAGGUUUCGUUGUUCUUUAGGCCACUGAUGAUUUCAAGGACAACCACCCCAAAGCUAUAUGUAUCAACUUUCACUGACAAUUGCCCAUGGAUUGCAUAUUCUGGUGCUGUAUAUCCACUGUCCCAUCCAACUUAUUUCAUUAUUAACCAUAUAUAUGCAUGCUAAUUACCUAAAUUUACUACCCAAACGCCAAAAGCCUAGAAAUUUGGGAUGGGAAACUUACAAAGUGCCAGCAAAUUUGGUGCUAAGAUGAGUCUGAUCCUCAGGUAAGAGCCUGACCAAUCCAAAAUCUGCUAUCUUAGGCUGAAAAUCUCUGUCCAAAAGUAUAUUGCUAGGUUUGAUGUCCCUAUGGAUGAUACAUACAUGAAACUCCUCGUGUAAAUAGGCUAGUCCCUUUGCUGUGCCUACUAUUAUGUCAAAUCUCUGUUUCCAGUUCAGAGAUCCAUGCCCUUCACCUGUUCGACAAAAUAAAACAAACAUAAAAUUGCUUUCAAGAUCAUUAAUUUUACGACAAUCAAGAUUCAAUUUCUGACAAUUAAUUACCAAAUAAGUGCUUAUCAAGGCUGCCAUUAGGCAUGAACUCAUAGACAAGGAGAAGCUCAGGGCCUUUACUACAGCAGCCAACAAGGCGAACCAGAUUCCGAUGAUGAACAUUGCUUAUAAGCUUCACUUCUGUAUCGAAUUCUGCUUUUACCUUUUCUGAUUUGCUUAUGGCUAGUUUCUUCACUGCUACCACCCUUCCAUUCUUCAAUAUACCCUAUAUUUAUAUAUUAAAAUUCCAACCGCCCACAAAUUUAUCAAUUUUCUUUUACAAUAAUAUAAAAGUAAUUUCAUUAUUGUUGAGUAAAUUGCAAGGUUAAAAAUAUUCACCUUGUAUACUUCACCAAAACCACCUUCUCCUAAUUUAUUUUGUUGACUAAAAUUUGUCGUUGCAAAAUUCAAUUCUUUGUAAGUGUAAGUCAACGGACCUUGUAACUCAGGUGGCGCCUCUACAUCCUCUGCAAUGUUUUUUUUUUUCUUUUUAAAUGGGCACAUAAUUAUGAUUUUAUUUAUUUUAACCCACAAAUAUAGAAUUAAUAUAAUAUGUUACCUUGAGGAACUGCCAUAUUGUUUCUUGAUUUUCUAACCCAAAACAAUAAUAAAGUUAUAAGCAACAGAAGACCUCCACCUCCAACCAGUCCUCCAAUCAGAGCAUCCCUUUUAGUUGUAUUUCCUGCAUGAUUCAAUUUUUAAUAUAAAUUCAACCUGUCCUCCAAUUUGUUAACAUGGAAGGAGAAGGAGAUAUUAUUGGAUUAAUUGAUCUGUAUAUAUUUAUAUUAAAUUCAAACCCUUGGAAGGAAUAGGCGAGCCAUAGUAGAAAGGGAGGAGAGGUGCCUUAAAAGGACUUACUGGUUUUCAAGAAGGGUUUCAGGUCAAUGGUGUAGUUAGCACCAAAGAAGGGGGAGUCUGAGUAUCUUAGGAAACAUCCAGUGUCAACUGCCCGACCAUCUGAGUCAGGUGGGCAUCUUUGAAUAUUGGCUAAAGCCACUUUCAAGCAUUCCAUGCACCCUUUCUCGUCGAUGGUUUCCAUGCAUUGCGCCACGCCAUACGCUGUUACAUUGCC